GCUUUGGAUUCAAUCAUGUGCUUCUUUCGCUGCAUAUUACCAUUACUCUCAACGUCUUGUGCCUUUCCCUAGUGAGGAGAACCCAGAGAUCGAUGUUCAGUUGCCUUGUAUGCCUCUUUUGAAAUAUGAUGAAGUACCUAGCUUCUUACAUCCUUCAACUCCUUAUCCUUUCUUGGGGAGGGCAAUUUUGGGCCAGUUCAAGAAUAUUGAUAAGCCUUUCUGCAUCUUGAUGGAAACAUU
rnacentral:misc_RNA from 1 species